rfam:Oceanicoccus sagamiensis strain NBRC 107125, complete genome.
GGUGGGGUUCCCGAGUGGCUAAAGGGAUCAGACUGUAAAUCUGACGCGCAAGCUUCGGUGGUUCGAAUCCACCCCCCACCA